GAAAAGCUGUGUGGCAGUUUACCUGCCUCCUUCACUUUUCCCCAUAAAGAUGAAGGACUUUAAUUUGUCUUGACUCUGGCUGACCCUGAAGCCCUCGAAGGAACUAGCUAAUACUUUACAGCCUUUAUCACAAACAAUGAUGAAAAAAGUAAGAACUUUGCUAUUUUCAUGUGAAGAGUACGCUUCUUUCCCUAAAGAAGCAUUCUGGCCCUGAAUACUGCACUAAUAUUUACAGCAGAAUAACUCAGCCAGAAGGAGACAAACAACUGUCUCAUUCUACAAUUGGAGAGUCAGAAAAAAAGUUAGAACCCCUUUUGAGAUAAAAGAGAAAUACAUUUCACACAGGCAAGAAUACAAAAAGACACAAAUUUGAUUUCAGACAGAAGAAUGAUUUAAACAUUCAAACAAAACAAAAUAAAACAACAAAAAAAGAGAGAACAUGGAAGAAAAUGAAUCAGAGUCAGAAUGAAUUACAGGCACAGGAAACAGCAGGAGAUGUUCAACAAAGUCUCCUUCUCUGCAGACAAGGUCAAAAAUUUUCCAUCUUACUUCUGCACAAGCAGCAGUGUAUCCUAACACUCUCAGAAAACCUGCAGUUCGGUCUCACCCUCACCCAAGCUGGGAAUCUUUCUGAGUAACUUCUCAGAAGUCUCUGCCUCUUCAAACAAAAAGAUAAACCUUAAAAUCAUCAAAAAUAUAAUUCAGCUCAGGCUCAACUCACCAACUCCUGGAAGAUAUGGAAAGUUUCAAAGCAGACUCCCCACCUGGACUAGGCCCUUCUUAUGCAAAACUACUGAUGAUUCUUAAGCAUUUAGGUCUGUCAACCUAGAUAGACAAUACAAGUCGCCAGAAUGCCAAGUUAUCCUUUGAAUGUGGAAAUAAAAUGUUUUCCCUUUAAGUGAGCUUUCAUAAGACAAGCAAAAAAACAAAAACAAACAAAAUGCACACAUUUUUUUCUUAAUAAGUUUCAGUGAUAAUUUCUCCAUCAUAGUUUUUUUGUUCUUAAAAAAUGCUAUUCUAUGACAAACCUUAUGAAUUGAAAUAAUCAAUAAAAUAAUCAUUUUUCC